rnacentral:rRNA from 1 species
UACGUAGGGGGCAAGCGUUGUCCGGAUUUAUUGGGCGUAAAGAGCUCGUAGGCGGUGUGUCGCGUCGGCCGUGAAAACCUGCAGCUUAACUGUGGGCUUGCGGUCGAUACGGGCAUCACUGGAGUUCGGCAGGGGAGACUGGAAUUCCUGGUGUAGCGGUGAAAUGCGCAGAUAUCAGGAGGAACACCGGUGGCGAAGGCGGUUCUCUGGGCCUUACCUGACACUGAGGAGCGAAAGCGUGGGGAGCGAACAGG